rnacentral:lncRNA from 1 species
CAUUGGACUGAAGUCAGGGACCCCUAUGGAGAAAUUAGGGAAAGGACUGAAGGAGCUGAAGAGGAGGGCAAUCUCAUAGGAAAACCAGAAGUCUCAACUAACCCAGACAGACCCCUGGGAGCUCUGGGAGACUGAGCCAACAACCAGGCAGGAUUCAUGGGCUUGUCCAAGGACCCCCCAGCACACAUUUAGAAGAUGACUGCCUGGUCUGGCCUCAGUGAGAGAAGAUGUGCCUAAUCCUCAAGAGACUUGAGGCCCCAGAGAAGGAGGAUGCCAGGGUAGGGAGUACCCUCUUGGAGAGCAACCAUCAUUGCUAAAUGCUGGUCAAUUUCUGGCUGGCUGGCAGAUUCUCCUUCGCCUCUGAGAGGGUCGUGCAUCAACUUCAGCUCACUUUCCCAAGAUUUGCUGGAGUUUUUGUUCUGUGCAGCAAGAUUCACUGCGGGAGGAUCAAUGACUGAGCCUGGGAAAAGCUGGGCAAGCUCAGCAUUAAUCACAACAGAAACAGCUUCGUUGGGCGGAGUCAGCGGUGGAGUCAUAAAGAGUGGUGUUGUUUUUGGAGUGGGGGGAAUAACAUCAGAUGGAUGGAUGAAGAAUCCAGGAGCAGCCACUGGGUUGGAAGGCACUGCAUUGUGAACAGGACCUGCUGCUGCUGCUGCCGCUGCUGAUGCAGCUGCUGCUGCUGCCGCUGUUGUCUGAUGCAGCUUGGCUUCCAGCUUUGCUUUCUGUAAAAGUAAAAGCAAUGCCUGUAGAAGAGUCCUGACGAAGUUGUGAGGACACUUGAUGAUCAUAUAUAAAAAACUUAAGUGAGAUUAGUAAGAUUCUGCUUACAUGAGACAAAACUGGACGUAACACAUGAAGCACUGCCUUGUUAGGAACAUUUCUUAGUUAUUAUGCAAAAUUUUCUUAUAUAUUAAGGGAACUAGAAAGUGCUCAAAAAAUGAAAAGCCAGCAGAACCAUUAAAUAUAAAUAAUGAAACCAGCUCUGCACAGAAUAAAAUGAAGCAAAUGAAUUCAUUGUUAACUGACAGGAUACAAUUUCUCAAGCAGAGUUUGCACAGGUUGCAUUUAGUCAGCAAUUAAAUCCAUAAACCAUGUUGUCAUAAUUGCUGUACUUAGAAUCAAACUAAUGUCCUCCAAUUUAUAAUGUCCAACAGUCUCUGUGUCAUGAAAACAGUAACUGAUAACAAUAUAAUGUUUCUCCAAAAGUUUUUAAACAUAAAAGUACAAGAGACUUCAAGGCUACUCAAAAAGUAUCAUUUUUUUCUCAAUCACAUCCUAAAUAAAAUGCAGUCAUAGAAUAAUCCAUUUAAACAUAUCAUAGAGUAAUACAUUUAAACAUAUCACAAAGGCAUUACCUCAAUUUUCUGUUGAAACCGACUAGCUCAGAUUGGACAAGCUACUUUUCCUUUCUGAAAACAAUGGUCAUUUUUACAUUUUUACUUUUCAGCUUUUGAAGUUUAGAGACAGCAUGAACAAAGAGCCAAAGAGUCUCCAACCUGUUGCUGAAGCUUCAAAAGCUGCUGCUGUUUCUCUUGCAGCACCUGCAGCUGUUGCUCGGCUGAAGCCAUUGCAUGAGAGAGAGACUGCAAAGCUACCUGGGCUGCUGAACUCAGGGCUGUCGAGGCUUCCCCAACUGUGCCAGAUGAUAGGCCACCUACUGCAGGAGGAACCCCGAAGGAACUCACUGGCAUGAGACAAGGGAAAGACAAAACAAGACACCAGGAUGAAGAAAAGCAGAACCGCCAUAUAUGAUGAGGCACCUGACCAUGGAGCAUGUGUGGAAGUACUGUGGAAUCUGCUGGCUCUUUUCACCAACACAGGUCUCAGAGAUGAACUUAGGGCAUCAGCGUUGGCAGUAAGCAUCAACUACCUACUGAACCACGCUGGUCGCCUCGUCUGAACUUUCUAAAUGGAAUCAGUUCUUUUUCUUUUCUAAAAUUAUAAAUCUCUGUAUCUCUCGGGGUUUCGGUAUGUCUGAGCAACUAGAAGAGUCUUCCAGCCAUGCCAAAGUGCCGCUAGGCAAACCCGAGCCCGCGCGACUUGUCUGGUACGCCCAGAGGCCCCUUCGUGGCCAGGGCGGCUGAUUCCCAGCGGUUCCCAGCACGGGGCAGAGGAGGAGGGCGUUGCGGGGUGGAGGCGAGAUCCGGAAGUAGGCCUCUAUCAUUGCACACUCUGACAAGCCUCUUCAUUGGAACUGAACCUGAUUUUUUUUUUACGACGCCUGCCCUAGUUUCAGAUUUUUUUUACACUUGAUCUUAGAAGACUGAGAAGCGAUAGUUCCAAAUCUUUUAAUAAACAGACAUGCUCAUUAAUGAGGUGCUGGACACAUUACAGCCCUACUGAGAACCAGGCAGAGAGGGAACCCAGAAAGUCCAGACGGGUUGCUGAUUAGCACACGAGGUUGCAGGUUUGAUUCCCAGCAUCCAUGUGGUGUCCGCAGACAUCUGUUAACUCCAGAACCAGCGAAUCUGAUGCCCUCUUCUGGCACCUUCGGGAACUACACACAUGAGAUUCAGAUCCUGUACACGUGUCCCAGGCUACCAGACUCCCUCCCUUCCCCUGCCAACCAGGAACCAGCCUGACUACAAUUACUUACUAUGGAAUGCCCAUCAGUCACAUGGUAUAGAGCCAGCUCCCUCCUCUGAAAUGUAUAAGAAGGGACAUUAUUGUGCCACAUGGGCCUACACUCCCUUCAGGGUACCCACAGUUGUCUUUCAGUCAAUCAAAAUUGUCAACUCGAUUAAUAAAUCUUUGACCCG